GGGGGUUUAGCUCAGCUGGUAGAGCGCCUGCUUUGCAAGCAGGAUGUCAGCGGUUCGAGU
rnacentral:tRNA from 1 species